rnacentral:lncRNA from 1 species
AUUGGAUACUCCUGAGUUUAGAGCUCCGUGCAAAACAAAGUCACAGUAAAGUGUGAUGAUCUGGUAAGGGGGAAGAGAGGCUGUCUUUUCAGAGACUCCUUUUCCCUCCCUCUAAUGAAUGCAAGAACUGUGCUUAACCCAGGGGAGCUGGGAGCCAACCUGUAAACCGAAUCCUCCAAGGCCAGCUUGGGCUGUGACUUCAUUCAUUCAAAUCAUCCACCAAGCAUUAUUUUGUGUUAGAAAUACAGCAGUGAACAUAUCCUCUCCUCCUCUUUUCUUUAGACCUGCAGGGCCUGAAGAGGCAGCCCCACGUCGGAAGGGACAAGAAGUUAAUGAGAAAAUUACAAAAUUUACAUAGAGGGGCAAGAGACCAGCUACACACAUCUGCGGUCAAAAGCAGAUCUCAUCCAAGUAAAGUGCUACCCUCACUCUUUGAGGCAGGAUAUGAUUGCAGCGCUGUCCCUCUCAUGCUGGCUGUGGCCCUGACAUCUGUGCCUGCAGCGUCUGGGAGGGUCUCGCUCAGCCUCAAACUCCUGGGCUCAAGCACUCCUCCUGCCUCAGCCUCCCAAGUAGUUAAGACCACAGGCGUGCACCACCAUGCCCAGCUAAUUGUUUUUAUUUUUUGUAGAGAUGGGGUCUCACCUUGCUGGUCCCAAACUCCUGGGCUCAAGUAAUCCUCCCACCUCAGCUUCCCAAAGUGCUGAGAUCACAGGUGUGAACCACUGUGACCGGCUGGAAGCAAUAUUUUAAAACCUGGAAUUCAAAUAACAGGGCACCAGCUGUGGAAUAUACACCUACGCAAGAGGAAUGGCAAGAGAAGAGAUCAUCCCGACCCCGUUGGUGGGCUGGAUGGAGCAACUUCCGCAGGAACGAGGCACCUCGGAGGCCUCUACUGGCUGAGAGCAGCAUCCUGACCAGACAGCAAGCCCCAGAGGGUCUGGGGGGAUCCAAACCCACCCCUGCACAGGUUUGCUGUGAACCAGGUGGGAGGGAGGGAAGAUGGGAACGAAGGUGAGAGAGGCCUGGGGGCCCGUGAGCAUGAACUUGGAGUGCUGAGCACUCACCUAAAUGACAGCAUCAGCGGGGCAGGGGGCAUCCUGCCUUCUGCCUCCCUGAAUUCACAGCUGGAAAGUGAUCCAGGUCAUGCAGACUCACUCCCACUGACUCAUUUGUCUCACUCCAAGCACUCGUUUCCCGGCUCCACUUGCUACUUCCUUGCAGGUCUUGGGCACCAAUUCCAGAUUCCUGGACCUGUCAUUCUCUGGGAGAAGGGUCCUGCUCUGAACCACACCAAGCCAGGGGCUUUCUCCAGAUCACCAGCCUCAUUUGGCAGAUGAGUGAAAUGUGGCUCAGACAUGCCCGGAAACUUGGCCAUGAUCACAGAGCUGACAAUGGGCAGAGGAG